CGGUCCCUACGGGGGGCAGCGGUAGGGAAUCUUCCACAAUGGACGAAAGUCUGAUGGAGCAACGCCGCGUGAGUGAAGAAGGGUUUCGGCUCGUAAAGCUCUGUUGGUAGUGAAGAAAGAUAGAGGUAGUAACUGGCCUUUAUUUGACGGUAAUUACUUAGAAAGUCACGGCUAACUACGUGCCAGCAGCCGCGGUAAUACGUAGGUGGCAAGCGUUGUCCGGAUUUUUU
rnacentral:rRNA from 1 species